rnacentral:rRNA from 1 species
AUUGAACGCUGGCGGCAGGCUUAACACAUGCAAGUCGAGCGGAGAUGAGGUGCUUGCACCUUAUCUUAGCGGCGGACGGGUGAGUAAUGCUUAGGAAUCUGCCUAUUAGUGGGGGACAACAUUCCGAAAGGAAUGCUAAUACCGCAUACGUCCUACGGGAGAAAGCAGGGGAUCUUCGGACCUUGCGCUAAUAGAUGAGCCUAAGUCGGAUUAGCUAGUUGGUGGGGUAAAGGCCUACCAAGGCGACGAUCUGUAGCGGGUCUGAGAGGAGGCUCCGCCACACUGGGACUGGGACACUGCCCAGACUCCUACGGGAGGCAGCAGUGGGAAAUAUUGGACAAUGGGGUGAACCCUGAUCCAGCCAUGCCGCGUGUGUGAAGAAGGCCUUAUGGUUGUAAAGCACUUUAAGCGAGGAGGAGGCUACUGAGACUAAUACUCUUGGAUAGUGGACGUUACUCGCAGAAUAAGCACCGGCUAACUCUGUGCCAGCAGCCGCGGUAACAC